rnacentral:rRNA from 1 species
UACGGGAGGCAGCAGUGGGGAAUUUUGGACAAUGGGGCAACCCUGAUCCAGCAAUGCCGCGUGUGUGAAGAAGGCCUUCGGGUUGUAAAGCACUUUUGUCCGGAAAGAAAUUGCCCUGGUUAAUACCUGGGGUGGAUGACGGUACUGGAAGAAUAAGCACCGGCUAACUACGUGCCAGCAGCCGCGGUAAUACGUAGGGUGCGAGCGUUAAUCGGAAUUACUGGGCGUAAAGCGUGCGCAGGCGGUUGUGCAAGACAGAUGUGAAAUCCCCGGGCUUAACCUGGGAAUGGCAUUUGUGACUGCACGGCUAGAGUGUGUCAGAGGGGGGUAGAAUUCCACGUGUAGCAGUGAAAUGCGUAGAUAUGUGGAGGAAUACCGAUGGCGAAGGCAGCCCCCUGGGAUAACACUGACGCUCAUGCACGAAAGCGUGGGGAGCAGACAGGAUUAGAUACCCUGGUAG